rnacentral:rRNA from 1 species
AUUGAACGCUGGCGGCAUGCUUUACACAUGCAAGUCGAACGGUAACAGGGUGCUUGCACCGCUGACGAGUGGCGAACGGGUGAGUAAUGCGUCGGAACGUGCCGAGUAGUGGGGGAUAACGCAGCGAAAGUUGUGCUAAUACCGCAUACGUACUGAGGUAGAAAGUGGGGGACCUGCGGGCCUCACGCUAUUCGAGCGGCCGACGUCUGAUUAGCUAGUAGGUGAGGUAAAGGCUCACCUAGGCGACGAUCAGUAGCGGGUCUGAGAGGAUGAUCCGCCACACUGGGACUGAGACACGGCCCAGACUCCUACGGGAGGCAGCAGUGGGGAAUUUUGGACAAUGGGCGAAAGCCUGAUCCAGCCAUGCCGCGUGUCUGAAGAAGGCCUUCGGGUUGUAAAGGACUUUUGUCGGGGAGGAAAUCCCUAGUGCUAAUAACACUGGGGGAUGACAGUACCUGAAGAAUAAGCACCGGCUAACUACGUGCCAGCCGCCGCAGUAA